AGCGCACAUUUUGGGGUUUUGUUUGUUUGUUUGUUUUUUCCUGUGCGUAUAGAGCAACCAUCAACGCCUUUUUUUUUUUUUUUUUUUUUUUCUGGUGUUCUUUUUGUUCAUAAUUUUAUUUUGUUAGCGGUGUAAAAUGGAGUGUUGCGAUAUAUCAGCAUACUGAGAGGACUGUAUGUGUGUAUGGCUGUAGAGGGUGCCUGAAAUUCCAAGAGGAAUACGCAAGGAGAAGAGAAAUUAACAAAUGUGCGUACAAUCCGAUUUUAGAAAGGCAUUGAUCCAUUCUUAGAAUGGAAGAUGAAGGAAAGUAUACGUGUGCUUUGAGUAACAAUGUAAAUAAUCAAAAGUAUGGGUAAUUGGGUUAGUAAUCAGGACUUAACUGCUUUCUUCUUCUAGAAGGAUAAGGGAAUAGUUUAAGAGAAAAGUGGUGUUCUCUAGAAGAUGCCAUGAAUGCUAAUUUCUCUCAUUACAUCAGCUGCUGGAAUGCUGUAACUCAUGCAGAAGUUUCUUUAUUGGGUAGAAAUUAUGCUUUGCAGUAUACUGUACCAAGGUAUUGUGAACUCUGGAACAGGUUAUUCAUAGGAAGAUAGUAUUUGGCAGGCUUCAUUAAGGUAUUGGUUCAUCAAACUUAUUAUUCUGCCACCCUCAGCAUCCGUUUCCUGAUGCUUUAGGCAAGAGGGGUAUCAGAUGAACUGAAGUAAAUCAUGAUGUUGGAGGUGCCAGUGAUAUCACAUAAUUGUUACUAACUGAAAAUUUUGACAUAUUGUGGUAACUAGGAGAGCAUUUUGCAGGGAAAAAAUAAAAACAACAAGUCUGCUUAUCUGUAAAAAUAAUUUAGUUCUGAUAGGAAGGAUUUUCUGGAAUAGCUGUGGUAACCUACAGAUUGGUGUCUAUUGUGCUCAUUAUUUACAUGAGCAGAUCAAAGCCAGAAAUGAGCUAUACUGAACUGAUUAAUUCUCUCUCCUAUGUGAAGCUAAAGGAUCAGCCUUCAAGUAUUAAUGUUUUGUUGCACUGUGGAAGGAUUGUAACUGCUUUGGUGACAGUCACAAUGGACGAAUUUCUGGGGAUGUAGGGAGGAGGAAGCAGGACUGUGUAUACAGCUUCAUUAUUAAGAAAACCAGGUUGUCCACUGUCUGUUACUAGAAUUUUCAGCAGUUCCAUAGCUUCCAGCCUCAUGCUAUGUCUUCAAAACUACUAAUUUGCCAGAGUCUGAUGCUACAAAAUAUUGAACAAUUUCUGGAGGUUCUUAAUGUUCUUCUGUUUAGAGCAGGGAACUCUCAGCACCCACAAAAAUUCUUAGGGUUUAAGAGCAGCGUGGAUUAUUAGGAUUAUCUAAUAUACCACCAUACAUGACAAAUGAUGGACCUUCAUACUGGAACAAAAUGUCUUACUUUAAAUUGCUCUGUAUCUGUCAGGUUGGUGACCUACUCACAAAAGGACGACAGCUGUCCAAAUCCAGAGCACCGUUUGUCAGAGGCUCUAGCUGAGAAUGCUUACCACGAGGUUACAAAACCUUACAGGGACAGGAGGAGUGACUGCCUAUGAAGAUAGGGUUUCUCAGAAAUUGUGUUUAUAAGCAAGUAAUAUUUUUCAUAGUCACAAUAAAAUUGCUCCAUCAGUCUUUGUCCUUGAAAAUCUUGAUGUGGCAAUUGCUUUGGACACAGAGUAAACAAACAGUGCAGAAGGAUACUUAUGCCAAGGACAGGUAGAAAACAUUAGAUGCAAAUAUUUGCACUUCAGAUGUCAUUCAACCAUGAGGAAGGUUUCUCUAGAAACUACACAGGUUCUGGAGUGAGGUGUCUAUUUUCAUUUUAAAGAAAACAAGCAAAAAAAACCAAAAAAAAUGUAAAACCUAGAGUAAUGUCAAGCACACAGAUUUUUUUUUUUUCUUAAGUGAUCAUUUCAUUAGGUCAAAAAAACUCAAAGCUUUAACAGUCCUACUAUUUAAAAAUUUUGUAAACCAGAUGUUUCAUUUCUUAAUAUAAACAUGUAAAUUUUGAGAUUUUCUUAAAGGAUUGAUUUAUACUGAUGUAAAAUUAUAACAUGAGUAUUUGAUCUCAUUUUUUCCUUACUGGAACAGGAGAUAAAGGCAUUACAGUUCAGAACUUCAGACAAAUGAUGAUAUUUUCGCUACACCAGGACAUCAGUAAAUAAAAUUGUAAAUCAUCUGGGAAAGAAAAGCAGCACUGGACAAACUUUAAAAUAAUUUUAAGUUUCACUGGCUAGGAGCGGGAAACUGACCCAGGCACUCUUAAGCCUAAAUCAAGAACUGAUGGCAAUUGCUACAUGAGAAGAAACACAUGAGAGGAAAAGAAGGAUGGCUGCCAACAGUAAAAGUCACUGUUGCUCUUUCCUCUACGACUGUGACAAGAAGCCAAUGCUCCAGCCAUAAGCAGGGACAGGUUGGUGGAGGAUUAAGGAGCAGUGACAGAUACCUGGACUCUGGAGGAGGUUGAGAAUAUCUGAGCAAGAUGAUGGUCCUUGAAUGCAGAUCUCCAAAAUGGAAUGAAAAUAAGUAUUAAGAACACAUGGGGGGGGGGGGGGGGGGGGAAGGAGGGGGUGGAGAGAGGAAUAUAUCAGGAAGAAGAAAUUGCAGCAUGGUAAAAGAAAAUGUGGAGGUGAACAAUGGAGCCAGAGACCUAUGAAAAAAUAAAUGCAAAGAAUGAAGGAAGAAUGUUCUUUGAUGUUUCAGAGAACUGAAGGAAGUAAUUAGGAUGAAAUCUAGGGGAAAAUCACAGAGAAUAAACAUGGAAGGCUACAAAGAUCAUUGCAGCUCACAGCUUUCCCAGUGUGCUGAAUGACUAACUCAACAAUCUCAUCCAACUUGUGAAAUACUCAAAAUACCAUUAGUUAAUUUUGUAACCUCCUCCCUGGAAAUGCAGUACACUUUUUAUACCACUAAAGGUGUGUCUCACAAGCGGAAGUAGUGAUUCAUUUGACAAGUUAUUAACUAUUGAGCCCAACUGUCCCAUCAGUAACCAACUUGAAUAGGAAGACCAGUAAAUGUGAUGACAGCGGAACAUUAGUGAGUAAAAUAGUGAUCAUUCUGUAGAGGUUAAAUGGGAAUGGCAAAACAGCUAUGCUGGCUCUUGCCCACUCUGAGCUUGUGCAGUAAGUGGUCAGUCAGUCUCCAAAUGUUACAUACAAGAGUGAAGUCAAGAUAAAAGAUCUGAGCCUAUCCCUGAUCUGAUUGCUUAUGAAAAGGAGAGGACAUUUUAUGUAUAUUGUCUCUGAGUAUGAAUGAACUCAGAAUGUAAGCAGGGACUGAUAUAUUUGAUUUAUAAACACAGUAUAGAAAACAAUCCCCAAUUUCUUAGAGCUCUUGGUGUCUUGCAAGGACUCCUAUCCCUUUUAGUAUCCAAUAUGAAUUAUGUUCAAAGUAAAUUCCUCUGUUAAAUGUCAGCAAAUCCAAUAAAUGAAUUAACAUCUUAUCUAAGCAGCUUGUUCCAAGUGAUUUUACAACGGUUAGUACAUUUUAUAUGCAGCAAAAGUCUUUAGCAAUAUCUGUUUUUCCUGGUUUCCUGUUAAUUUGGCAAGGACUGACACACCAGGCUUCAUCACAGACCAAGACUGUGUCAGGCAGGAUGAACUCCUGAUGAACAUUGACCACUGAGACUAAUAAUACCUAGUUAUGCCAAAUGUUUCUCCUGUGUGGGCACUCACAAUUCUCCUCAAAGCAGACAAUGAGAAUAUUUGCAGCAGCUUUUGUCUCCUUGUAAACUGAUGAAGCCGCCACCAAAAUGCAAAUAAAAAUGCUGCUUUAGACAUACCACUGAGGUCUCAUGCUUUCUGCUUCCAGCUUUAACAGAAAGAUUGUUUGAAAAAAAACCCCUAACCACAUCAAUGACCAAAACAACCAACUCACCUAAACAAACUAACUCAGGGUAAGAACUCAGGCUCAGCUGUUGUGGGCUGGAAUUCUUUUUCUCAGAACUUUAUCCCAAAUAUUCAAAGUCUAACAGUCCAUGUCUGCCUCCAGCAGGCAGCAGGAGAUUCUGGCAGAUUUAGUUAUUCUAUGAGUCUGGGGCAGCAAGAGGUUCCUGCUCAUUUGUCAAGUACAAUUUGAGGUACAAGUAAGAUUUUUGUGUUAUGAGGGUUUCACAGCCCCUUUUUGCAGAAUGCAUUGCAGAUGAAAUAUUUGAGUUAGCAAAAGAAUAAUGCAGAGCUUGCAAUGCAAAAUUAGACCAGAUAAAAUUGUAGAGAGAGCAUUUUUAAGAGAAAGAUAAAUAAAUGUCACAUUAGGGUUAGAGUCCUCAGGAAGUUAGAAGUGAAAUUCUGUGGCUUCAAGGGUCUUUGGAAAAUGGCAGCUUUAUUCCUUGGAGGAUGCGGUAACGAACCGGCUGGUAGGGAGGGGUGAUGCUAGAUGCUGCAGCAUUUGCAUUGAGGUAGGAGAGAAGCAGGUGAAGUUAAAGGGAAUUUGCUUCAGUCUAAUAGGCAGCUAAAGGAAAAUUACUUUAGAGAAUAAAAGCCUAAGAAGAAAAAAAAUACAGUGGCCCAGCAUACUGGAAACUGGGGAUGAAUGUAGAGCUCUAUUUUCUCUCAAAGACAGACACAAUUUUCUCUUACUGACAAUUUUAUUGUUGUUGCCCAUCUCCAAGACACAGGAGGAUCAUGGCUCUGGAAUCUCACAGAGUUACAGCCAGACAACCAUUUCCCCAGAAAGUGACGGAGAAGAAAGUUUUAUAGCACUGGUGAGGGGGUUUCUGAAAGAAAAAAUAAACUGCCUUGAAGAUGUUGUACACAAUCAUGUAAAGUUUCAAGCUGGAAUUGACAUAAAUCUCACAUGGAGAAAGAAGGAUGACAGAGCUGCUGUGGGACUUGCAGCCAGCAGUAGACCACCCCAUGAAGACUGUUUUUCACUUACACAUUAACUUCACAAUAUGCAGUUUUCAUUCCUGUUGAUGUUGAUGCAUGCUUUGGUUUCUAGCAGCUGCCUAUGCACAGUACAUAUUGUGGUAGAGGAAUAAUGAAUCAGACAAUGCUUUCUCAUGAGACUAAGCUAAGCAAGAUGCCUGUCUGGUGGCAGCCAGCUUCUUUACUAAUAAAAAAUUCCAACCAUUACAUCUCCUUCACUCUAGGGCUGGCUCCAACACCCAGUCAGCCUCUUCCUUACAGAAAGAUGACAGUUAGACCAAUUUUAAAGCAUACAAAUCUCCUCAUCUUGUCUGCAUCUUUCCCAAAAGAAGCAGAACUGAGCUUAAAAAACCAAAACAAUAAAACCUAAACCCAUAGUUUUAAGAGGAACUUGUCCCCAGGCAGGUACCUGAUAAAGAAGUGUUUUAAACCACUGCUUCCUGGCAUUCUUUUCACCUAUUACUCUUGACAUGUAAAUCAGCUCUCAGGAGCACUGUAAUCCCCUAAACAACAAUAUCAGGUCCUGACCUAUCUAUCUGACAAACACAACUGAAGGGACAGCUGAGAACAUGCUUGGUUGAGGUAGAAGCAGCAAUACUGAAAGCAUUCAUUGCCUUAGCAACUAGGACAACCUCUUCUUUAAUUAGCACAUCAUGGUCUGAACUUUGCUAAUAGAACCUGCCUACACUGCAUGCUAACUAUAGGUUAGGUAAUCUCGCGCUUGCCAACACAGGCAGCCUACCACGCUUCUGCUUCCUGACAUUCUCCACAUGAGCACUCUGUUCUCAGGUCCCACAUCUGCAGGCAGGCUGUGGGUGGUGUUAAUGAAUGAUACAUCCUUGUGGUUUCUCACCCUGGACUCAUGAUCUCCUAUCCCAUCACAUAUUUGUCUGGGCUGGCAGGCACAGGGUGCUGUGGAACAGCUUCUGUGUGCUCUCGUAGGAUUUGGGAGGUUACUGUCUAUGACAAAGGAAUUAUUUCCCGGCAUUAGCUUAGCAGAUAGGGUAGAGAAAUAAGAGAGCUAUCUCACUGCCCAAGCAACCCUCCUUGGCCUGUCCUCCCUGUUUACUCUCCCUGCCACCCUCUUCCAGAGCUUCUUCACCAGUGGCAUUUCUGAUGACUACAUGAAAUCACUAAGAUCCAAUAGCACCAGCAAUUGCAGAAUACACUCUUCUAGAAGGUGUGCCACAUAGGUUUGUAGCGCAGUUAUUCUCUGUUCCUGCCCCAAAAUUGCAGGGGAAAAAACUUAUUAAAAACCUGAUUAAGAAAAAUCAGAUAUCUGGAUGAAAACAAGCUUUGAGGGAAAAAAACCCCUUAGGGUUUACAAAAUCAUUGUCUUAGCUCUAACUACAGUUCAUUGAAAUUUAUAUCAGCGUAGCAGUAGCACUAAGUUUAGAGCAGAAAGUAAAACUGGUCUGAGGUAACACUGCUCGAAUAUUCUGGGCUGAAUUCUGUACUGCCCCUGGUAUUGGAGAUGUAGGGUCCAAAGCUAGCAUGGGUAUGUCUAUAGGAAAUCCUACCAAUUCAGUGGAACAAAUCGUGCUCUUAGACAUCAGGUCUCACUAAGUGGGAGAAAUAGGGCAUUCAAAAGAGGAGAAAACUAAAUUUUGAUUGUUUUAAAAGCUUUAUUUAAUAGCACUAUGAACUAAGGCAGCAAACUCUUACAUUUUUUCUCCUGUUAUAUUGAAUUAAGCCCGGGAAUUAAAGAAAGAACACAAGAUCACAUGCUAGGUUUGGAAUGCCUGCUCAGCAAAACAGUGAAUGACACUGUGACUACUUGUGGGAUCACUUUCAGGGUGCUUUCACCUACGGUUUCUGUAGACCUGCAUGACAAUUCCUAAUUACAAUAUUUACAUGUUAGAAAUGCUGAAGGAGAGGGUUUCACAAUGAACUGGGGAUGAUUUCUGUAGAUAUUUGUUUAGGGUUUGGUCGGGUUUGUUUUGUUUGUUUUUAGUGUUGAACAAGAUGAGCAGAAAGAGAAAGCUGCUGCUGUCCUACAAGAGUAGAGAUACCUAUUCAAGAUAGCAGCUACUCCUUGUAAAUGUACAAUCUUGGAAGCAAGAAAUUGCAACUCAAAAUCUCGGAGUAAAUUCUCCGAGUGCACAUGCAUACCAUACAGUAUCAAGCACACAUAGAAAAUACCAAGCUUACAUUCUCAAAUGUGGCUAAUACUUAGAGUACUGGCAGCAAGAUGCUUUUCUUCUAUUCUUGAAAAUGUCAGAUUUUAACAAAUCAUUGCCCCAACAGAACCAGAGAUUCAGAGAAGUACUGUGAUCAAAGACACACACCAUGCUUCUGAGGAGGAAUUCAGGAAAUGCAAGUUCAACUGGUAUAAAGAGCUAUCACCUCUUUGCUCUGGUUAUGUGCAUCUUUAAAUUAGCCAUUAGAUAAUUCUGCCACUUCACUGAACUUUCUGCAUUGAAGAUAUUUAUUCUUCCUUGUCCAGGAGGAAUGGCUUUAUUGGUAGUUAUGGAAAUAAAAGAGAUAAUAAAGCUCCCAUGCAAAUCUUA